CAAUAACAAACAAAUAGUAGCUGACGAAUGUCUCGCGAAACUGGUUAAAACACUGCGAAUCUGCGACUGAAGCCGGGGUUGAGGCGGCUCGGCUGGAGCAUAUUUUUCAGCGGCGAAUCUACCGUUACGAGGAGUUGCUGCGCGGUGCGGGGACCGUUGGCGGCGGCGGCGGCUCGCGUGCUGCUUUCUCGCGCUACUUUUUCAUGUCCACAGCCAUCGUUCAAAGUUUCCGUUUUAAUCCACGGGGAGUGACCGAAGGCUCUGUUUCAUUUCAGAGACGAGUGUCCCCCCCAGCAAUGUAAAAGUCUCCCUCCCACAACAGGACCGUCUGCCAGGACCAUUGCUAUCACUGUUUGGAGAGGAUAGGCUGGAGUCCUUUACUGCUCUGACGUCACUGUGCCAAUGGAAACAUGGGGCUGUCUUAAAGGGCCAGCGCACCGUAAACACGGCAGCUUUUAGACCCUUAGGUCUAUUUUCGGACACAAACGGAACGAGAUGUACAAGUAAAGGCUGUCUUUUUAUCAUUUGUGAAUGUAUAUUCGUAUAUUCGUCUUAUACACUUUAUUCUUUUGAGAUAGAGAAGAAAUUAAGCUUACCAUUUCUACCUUCUACCAGGUACAGUAGUGGAAUGAGUUCAGCAUGA
rnacentral:lncRNA from 1 species